CAGUUGGAAAACUGCUUGAUUUUUAUUGAUUUUUUAAAAAAUUUCCGAAAAACCGACAUUCUCGAUGCGCUAGUUACGUGUUUCAUGUCUUUGUGCUGUGCUAUCAUUAAAUUAUUUCCCUUUCAUCCCCCGAAUAUUCCCUUUUUUCCUAUUAUUUUCAAUUGAAUGUUCGCUUACAAAACUGAAAAGAGGGUAUAAGCUUGAGCCGUUGAUUCCUUCUUCCUAUCAUCAUAGUAUUAUAUAAAUAUAUUAUUUCCAAUUCUAAGGCUUUUUCUCCCCGUUUAUCGCAUUUCUGUGUAUAGAAUCUAAUUUUUUCCCCCAUUUUUUGUUGCUCGGCCCCAUCGAAAUUCGUGCUCUAAUUUCUGACACGAAAAACGAGUUUAUAAACAUUUUUCCUUUAAUU
ensembl:ncRNA Y67D8A.10 ncRNA